rnacentral:rRNA from 1 species
GUGGGGAAUAUUGGACAAUGGGCGAAAGCCUGAUCCAGCCAUGCCGCGUGUGUGAAGAAGGUCUUCGGAUUGUAAAGCACUUUAAGUUGGGAGGAAGGGCAGUAAGUUAAUACCUUGCUGUUUUGACGUUACCAACAGAAUAAGCACCGGCUAACUUCGUGCCAGCAGCCGCGGUAAUACGAAGGGUGCAAGCGUUAAUCGGAAUUACUGGGCGUAAAGCGCGCGUAGGUGGUUUUGUAAGUUGGAGGUGAAAUCCCCGGGAUCAACCUGGGAACUGCCUCCACAACUGCAUGACUAGAGUACGGUAGAGGGUAGUGGAAUUUCCUGUGUAGCGGUGAAAUGCGUAGAUAUAGGAAGGAACACCAGUGGCGAAGGCGACUACCUGGACUGAUACUGACACUGAGGUGCGAAAGCGUGGGGAGCAAACAGGAUUAGAAACCCGUGUAGUCC